CCCUCUCCUCCCGCAUCCUCCCGCUCCUCCCGCAUCCUCCCGCUCCUCCCGCAUCCUCCCGCGGCUCCGCGGCUCCCCGCGGUGCCAUCCCUCGCUGUCUCCCCGGCAGGACGAGAAGCAGCGGCUACCGAGGAUGCCGCACAGCCCCCGAGAGACUCCGGGUUCUGGCCGGCCGUGGUGGGCUGUGGCUGCGUGGCCGUGGUUGUGGCGUUCCUGGCCGGGCUCUGCGUGAGGAAGAGGUACCAGCGCUGCCUCUGGGUUUGCGGGGGUGAGGAAGCACCUCCCUGCAGCCCUCCUGCGCUGCUCUCCCUGGCCAGGCUUUGCCCAGGUGCUCUCAGGUGUGAGGGUUCAGCUCCCCAGCUGUGGGGUGCAGCCUCCUGCCGCCAUCUAGUGUCACCCUGGCCCGGCCGGCGUCCCCUGGGCUCCCAAACCCCCCGGGAUGUGCCAGCAGCAGGGGCAGCCUGGCCCAGGCAUGUGCAAAGGGAUGUCAGUGUCCCGGGAGAGGGAGGGUGGGACAGGAGGAGCAGGUGAAGCUCCUAUGGAGGUGACACUGCUGCUGCCUUCCCUCAAGGUUUGCAACCAUCACAGCCCUGGAGAGGAUGGGGAACAGCAGCAGCAAGAACAAAGCAGAGGAAGCGAUUUACUCCUCAAUCCCCGGAGCUGAGCUGCCCAAGGCUGAGCAGGAAGCAAAGAAGAAGAGGAGAGCUGAGGACACCUACAUAACCAUGCACCCUUCUCACGGCCGCGACAACGGAGUCUACGUGGAGCUGGCCAAGAGGGCGAUCCCGACGGAAUGGAUGGCAGAGGGGACACAGGGAGAAGGGCAGAGCCAGGAGCCCCCCAGCAGGUCAGGGGAGGCACUCCCCCGGCCUCCAGAGCAGCAGAAAUAGCUGUGCUGAGGGAUGGCAGCCCCUUGUCCAGGUGUGUCCGAAACACCUUUGUCCCUCCGAGGACUGAGAACCGGUGACAUGUCACUGUGUGCCCUGUGCCAGGGCACUGCUGGGGCACAGCCCACCCCAGCUGUCUGCAGGGGACCAGGGGACACCUGUCCCUCCGGCUCUUGCCCCCUGGACUCUGGAGAGAGUGGGCACAGCCUCAGGCUCCAGCUUUGGUCCUGGCCCAGGAU
rnacentral:lncRNA from 1 species